UACGUAGGGUGCAAGCGUUGUCCGGAAUUAUUGGGCGUAAAGAGCUCGUAGGCGGUCUGUCGCGUCUGCUGUGAAAACUCAGGGCUUAACCCUGAGCUUGCAGUGGGUACGGGCAGACUAGAGUGCGGUAGGGGAGACUGGAAUUCCUGGUGUAGCGGUGAAAUGCGCAGAUAUCAGGAGGAACACCGGUGGCGAAGGCGGGUCUCUGGGCCGUAACUGACGCUGAGGAGUGAAAGCAUGGGGAGCGAACAGG
rnacentral:rRNA from 1 species